CUACUUAAGUGGCAGGGAGGCAUCAUGGUCCUGAAGGUGAUUUCCAAGGUUGAGCCUCAUUCCUUGCAUUUCUGAUGACCUAACCACUGCAAAUCCUGUGAUUUAGGGAACUUAGCUUAAAAUUUGUGAUGUGAGAUACUGUAUAUGUAUAUUCUGUU
rnacentral:snRNA from 1 species